rnacentral:rRNA from 1 species
UACGUAGGGUGCGAGCGUUAAUCGGAAUUACUGGGCGUAAAGCGCGCGUAGGCGGUUGGCAAAGUCAGCUGUGAAAGCCCCGGGCUCAACCUGGGAAUGGCGGUUGAAACUAGUCGACUCGAAUCUGGCAGAGGGGGGUGGAAUUCCACGUGUAGCAGUGAAAUGCGUAGAGAUGUGGAGGAACACCGAUGGCGAAGGCAGCCCCCUGGGCUGAGAUUGACGCUCAGGCACGAAAGCGUGGGGAGCAAACAGG